rnacentral:lncRNA from 1 species
UUCACUGAACACAAAAUGGUCAAUUACAAAACAAACAUACAUGUUUAUCUUGAUACUUGACAUGAAAUAUUUCCGGAGGAGAAGAUUUUAUUUGACUGGAUAAAAUGGAGUUGAAAAAUUCAACCAGACACUUGUCAUUUUCUAAAUGUUUUUGAUAUUUUUCAUUUUUUCAUAGUUAUUUAAAACCAAUUAUCUCAUUAUUAACUAAGUAAUUGGUUUUUGAUAUUUUUAUUUUUUUUCUAAAUAGAGUGUAAAAAUUGAAUGUAUGUUAAUGAUGAUAUGGAAGAAAGAGAAGAUAAUGUGGGAUAUUAAAAUAUAAAAAAUAGUAUUGAAUGUUGUAACUGUUGUACAUAGUCUAAUAGUUAUAGUUAAAAGUCCACCUAAUCACUUUGGGUAAUCAUAUACAAUAAAUGUUAAUUUCACUCAUUUCUAUUUUUUUUAACUUUUUUUUUUGGCAUUUACCUUAAUUUUACUUAUUGUAUCAAUAAAUGUUAGUUUCCUUUGCAUCCAAAACUUGUGAGAACUCUAAACGUGAUAGUUGUGUUUUUCUAUGUAACUGCUUGUAAAUUUAUUAUUUUAUUAUAAACAUUAACAUUAGGGAUUUUAAAUCUAUAGUUUCUUAUGAUUUUGAAAAUUUUAAAUAUGUUUAUUUUCUUCUAGAUAAUCAAAUAUGUCUAUAAACAUCGAUUCUAUUAGGAUAACCAAGACCAUUG